CCCGCCCGCUGGCGGCGUGCUUAGCACAUGCAAGUCGAACGGAACGGUCCUGCUUAUGUGGGGUGCUCGAGUGGCGAACGGGUGAGUAACACGUGAGUUACCAGCCAUUGCCUUUGGGAUAACCUCAGGAAACUGGGGCUCAUAGCGGCAAGGAGCUCUCGCCGCAGGGUGGGGGUUGGAAAGUUUAGGCGGUUGGGGAUGGACUCGCGGCUCAUCAGGUUGUUGGUGGGGUAGUGGCUUAGCAAGGCCUUGACGGGUAGCCUGGCUGAGAGGGUGACCGGCCACGUUGGGACUGAAAUGCGGCCCAGACUCCUACGGGAGGCAGCGCUGGGGAAUAUUGCACUAUGGGCUGAACCCAAAUGCAGCAACGCCGCGUGCGGUAUGACGGCAAGCCGUUUGGAAUCCGCUUUCGCCUUUCACGAAGCGUUAGUGACAGUAAUGGGUAAAUAAGCACCGGCUAACUACGUG
rnacentral:rRNA from 1 species